UCCCGGGUGGCUCAGCCGGUAAAGCGUCUGCCCGCAAGCUAGAAGACCCGGGUUCGAUCCCUGGGUCGGGAA
rnacentral:tRNA from 1 species